UACGUAGGGGGCAAGCGUUGUUCGGAAUUACUGGGCGUAAAGCGUGCGUAGUCGGUAUUGAGAGUCACGGGUGAAAUCCCCAGGCCUAACCUGGGAACUGCAUUCGAGACUGCAUGGCUAGAGUAUCGGAGAGGGAAGUGGAAUUUCAGGUGUAGCGGUGAAAUGCGUAGAUAUCUGAAGGAACAUCAGUGGCGAAAGCGACUUCCUGGACGAAUACUGACGCUCAUGUGCGAAAGCGUGGGGAGCAAACAGG
rnacentral:rRNA from 1 species